CUUGCUGACAUUGUGAUCGCUUCUGAGUCUGCUUUUGUUGUUUUGGGGUUUUUUCUUUACAAGAGGGAAAACUGUGGAAAGCAAAGAACAUUUUUAAAAAUAAAUUUCAGGAAAAGUUAUUAUACCAUGCUGUGUUAUUGCACAUGGUGCUUCAAAAUUGGCAGCUAGGCUAUGUCUUGGGAUCAGGUUGUGCUGUGCUGUUUCCUAACGAUUUUGCAAUAUAGAAAGCGCUGCCUAAAGGAUAAUGGAGAUUGUGAAUGAGUGUGUUCUUGAGAGGAGAAACUCUUUAUUUCACAUGGCAUAAGAGAAGGUGUACUUCCUAAGAGGCUAGACUGGCUAUAGCUUUGUGAUUCACAGAAUUGACCCAGCUUUAAGUUACUGGUGAUUUUGGAUAUCAGCAGUGGAAGAAGAUAUUUCAAUUGAAGAAUCAGACUAUCCUGAAACUAUUAGUGAAACCUUGUCCCAGUUCCAAACAAAUAGUGUUUGCUCUGGUACACAAGUUGAUGUCUGUGCACUGCUGGAGCAGGAUAAACCACAAGAGCACAGGCUGGAGGAAUGGCAAAUAACUUCCCAUCACCUCUCAAGCUGAUAAACUGGGUUGAAACUGCUGCUUCCUAUCAGUGGAAUUGGCUCAAAUUGGAGGCCAUGAAGCAGCACUCAGCCACAGCUCACAUCUGCCUGGUGGGAGUGAGAGCUUCAACACUGCCUCGUCCAUUGCUGUGAUACACCAUUUUUCAACUGGAAGAGAGGCGCAUGCAAGUGAUAAAAGAGAUGGCUCACAUCUUGAGAGUAGGAGGCCAGAUAAUGAUAUAUGUGUGGGCAAUGGAGCAAAAAUGGGGAAGAUUUGAAAAGCAAGACAACUUUGUUCCUUAGAAACCUUCACCUCCUUCCUGCUCCUCAGGUGAGCCUUGCUCACAUGGAGUACAAAAAUCAAUUCUUCACAGGGACAAAGAACUGGCUUUGAAACAGCCCUGUCAUAAGCUGGAUGGGACUUCAGAGCUAUGCAGGACAGCACGGAGCUCAUCCUGCAGAGGGGAGAAAAAAGCACUGUACACAGUGUCAGAGAAGUCUCUGAGAUCGUCUCUGUUCUCAAGAUCACUUGACUCAGUAUUAAAUUUGGGUGAUCAAUGGCACCAAGAAGGGCUCGUUAGUUAUGGCAAUUACAGUGUUGAGCUGAAUUAAUUGAAAAGGGGAGAAAAAGUUGAAAAAAAUGCAAAGCUCAUGGAUUUCCGAAACGUACUUCUCACUUUUUCUACGUUGCAAACUGAGUUUUUAAAAUACAACAACUUCUGAAGUGGCUGUUAAACCUGUGCUGCCCACGCUGCUCAAAGUCUUUCAGAAGCUGCUAUGCAGAAUUAAGGCAAGUAAAGGUACAG
rnacentral:lncRNA from 1 species